UUCGGAACCUCCGUAGGGCUAUGUCCCAGGAUGAAACUCCGGCCAAGGAUGUCCAUCCCUUUUGGUGGCUGUUUUACGGCAAUUGGAGGCAACUUCUCUUGAAAGUCGCAGUUCUUUUAGUUGCCAUACUGUUAUUUCUCUGUAUUUUUACAUCAUGCAUCAUUCCUUGUAUUCGUCACAUGAUGACUAAGAUGUUGACAUCAGCGUUUGCUGUCCAGAAUAUCAUGUUGGUCCAGCGUGAACAAGAUGAGUGGGACCACCUUGCGUAAAUCGCCUGCCGGUUUUUGUUUUGUUUUGCUGGUUU